rnacentral:rRNA from 1 species
GAUGAACGCUGUCUACAGGCUUAACACAUGCAAGUCGAGCGGACACGCCGGGGACGCUUGCUUCUCCGGGCGUCGACCGGCGCACGGGUGAGUAACGCGUAUCCAACCUGCCUCUGACUGAGGGAUAACCCGUCGAAAGUCGGCUUAAUACCUCAUGGCAUCGUCUGCGGGCAUCCUACGACGAUUCAAUAUUUCUUCGGUCAGGGGAGGGGAUGCGUCUGCUUAGCUUGUUGGCGGGGUAACAGCCCAACAAGGCUACGAUCAGGAGGGGUUCUGAGAGGAAGGUCCACCACAUUGGAGCUGAGACACGGUCCAAUCUGCUACGGGGGGGAGCAGUAAGGAAUACUGGGCGAUGAGCGGGAACGUAAACCAGCCGAGUAGCGUGCAGGAGUACGGCGCUAUGGGUUGUAAGCUGCUUGUAUGCAAGGAAAAAGUGAGGGACGUGGCCUUCAUUGCAGGUACCUAAUGAAUAAGGACCGGCUAAUUCCGUG